UACGUAGGGUGCAAGCGUUGUCCGGAAUUAUUGGGUUUAAAGGGUGCGUAGGCGGUCUUAUAAGUCAGUGCUGAAAUAUCCCGGCUUAACCGGGAGGGUGGCAUUGAUACUGUAGGACUUGAGUAGAGUUGAGGUUGGCGGAAUUGACGGUGUAGCGGUGAAAUGCUUAGAUAUCGUCAAGAACACCGAUAGUGAAAACAGCUAACUAAGCUCAAACUGACGCUGAGGCACGAAAGUGUGGGGACCAAACAGG
rnacentral:rRNA from 1 species